rnacentral:pre_miRNA from 1 species
GCCCUGGCCCCAGGCUUCUCUUGUCCAAGCCCCAGAAAGAAGAGACAGCUGGGUCACAGAAGAGGGUCUAAGGGACAAAUU